rnacentral:rRNA from 1 species
UGGGGAAUCUUGCACAAUGGGGGCAACCCUGAUGCAGCGACGCCGCGUGAGCGAUGAAGCCCUUCGGGGCGUAAAGCUCUUUCGACCGGAACGAUAAUGACGGUACCGGGAGAAGAAGCUGCGGCUAACUACGUGCCAGCAGCCGCGGUAAUACGUAGGCAGCAAGCGUUGUUCGGAGUUACUGGGCGUAAAGAGUGCGUAGGCGGUUUUCUAAGUUCGGUGUGAAAUCUCCCGGCUUAACUGGGAGGGUGCGCCGAAGACUGGGAAGCUGGAGUGUGGGAAAGGCAGGCGGAAUUCCUGGUGUAGCGGUGAAAUGCGUAGAUAUCAGGAGGAACACCGGCGGUGUAGACGGCUUGCUAGACCAAAACUGGCGCUGAGGCACGAAAGCGUGGGUAGCAAACA